AGAGUUGUGGGAGCAGUGUUUUUCCAAACAGGCAGACUUGGACGCUGCUGUUAAUAUCCUGCAUGUUAUCAGAGACUUAUCCCAGCUAUGGACUGACACCGCUCAGGCUGUACUGAGUGGGAGCUUUUGGUACAAAGAAUAUGGCUUGGUUCAGUGUAGUGGACACAGGCCGGCAGUGAAGGUCAUGGGUUUGCUCCAACAGAAGGCUUUGCCUCUGCUGGAGAGACUGAGCCAGCUCCUGGAACAUCCUGCCAGUGACUCCUGCCAUCAGCAAAUUUCAGGUUUGUCAGCAAAGCAGACAUAUGGUAUGGAGAUAUCUUCACGAGUCUGGACAGUCUCUGUGCCUGUGGUGAAAGG